rnacentral:rRNA from 1 species
GGGAAACUUUCAUGCAGUCGAGGGGCAGCGGGGAGGUACAAUACUUCCGCCGGCGACCGGCGCACGGGUGAGUACCCUUAUGGAACCUGCCCGUAGCAGGGGGAUAAGCGGAAGACCUUCCGUCUAAUACCGCGUAAUAAUUCCGAGAGGCAUCUCAUGGAGUUUAAAGGGUAACACCGGCUACGGAUGGCCAUGCGGCGCAUUAGCUAGUUGGCGGGGUAACGGCCCACCAAGGCGACGAUGCGUAGGGGUUCUGAGAGGAAGGUCCCCCACACUGGUACUGAGACACGGACCAGACUCCUACGGGAGGCAGCAGUGAGGAAUAUUGGUCAAUGGGCGCGAGCCUGAACCAGCCAAGUCGCGUGAGGGAAGACGGUCCUAUGGAUUGUAAACCUCUUUUGUCGGGGAGCAAAAGACGCCACGCGUGGCGUUCCGAGAGUACCCGAAGAAGAAGCAUCGGCUAACUCCGUGCCAGCAGCCGCGGUAAUACGGAGGAUGCGAGCGUUAUCCGGAUUUAUUGGGUUUAAAGGGUGCGCAGGCGGAAGAUCAAGUCAGCGGUAAAAUUGAGAGGCUCAACCUCUUCGAGCCGUUGAAACUGGUUUUCUUGAGUGAGCGAGAAGUAUGCGGAAUGCGUGGUGUAGCGGUGAAAUGCAUAGAUAUCACGCAAAACUCCGAUUGCGAAGGCAGCAUACCGGCGCUC